UGUGGCCCCAAAACAAAAGAUAGAAAUUUAUUUGUUACUCAGCCAUUGUACUUUUCCACCCCUGGCCCUAGGAUGGAAGAGUCUUAUGGAUAAAGAAGCAUUUCCUGGGGAAAAUGUGAUUAUGGCAGACACAAUGUUAGUGUCUCCCACGGACAGAUUUCAGUUGCUUGGGUUCCGACGUGUCCAGUGCUGCGGGAGCGGGGCUGAAUCUAAGGUGUCAUUCUGGUGGGGUGGAGGUACAGCCAGCCGCCAUACCCCCAGUCUAUUUGGGGACUCAGAUUUUUUGUGAUCUCAUCUGCCCGCUUCCCACCAACUCCUGAUAGUUAGAGAAGAGCAAGCUUCUCAUUGGUUACUCUCCUGUAAAAUUUUUACAUGUGAAGCAGGGAUCCCAUCUCUCCGAUUUAUUUCUUCCUUAUAGGAAAGCAGAGGAGUAGGUGGUCUAACUACUUUCAGCACAGCUAUUUUAGCUCACUUAGGGAGAUUGAUUUAAUAAAUCCGAAUAUUCUUCUGCCUCAAACCUGUUUUCCAGCAAAAAUAAUAAUAAUUACUAAUAUGCAUUUAGUGAUUAUAUUGCUCAGGGUUCUCCAGAGAAACAGAAUCAAUAGGCUGUAUCUACCAUGUAUUGUGAAUUCUUUGUGCUCAGUCUACCAGUUCAAAUGCCAGUCUAUUCCAGAAGCACCCUCACAGAUAUACCCAGAGAUAAUGUUCUGUCAGCUAUCUGGAUAUCCCUUAUGCCAGUCAAGUUGACACCUAAAAUUAACCAUCACCCUUAUAUAUUAUUUAAUUUAUUCCCCAAGAACCAAGUAUUUUUAUGAUUCUCAUUAUGCACAAUUUAUUUCCCAAGAACCAAGUAUUUUUAUGAUUCCCAUUAUGCAUAUCAGGAGACUAUGCUGAGAGUUUAAGGAACUUCUCCAACAGUAUACAGUCGGUGAAUGACAGAGUUAUCUGUGGAUUCAUGAUACAUUUUGAUCAAAAAUAUAGUCACUAUAUAAUGCUUAGCCUUUGCCUUCAUUUUAAAAGGGAAUGAUUCUCAUAUUGAGGCAAAAAUCUUCACGUUUUUCUUUUGCGUCUCCAAGUUUAGACAAUCACAAAUGUAACUUCAAGAGAAGUGCUUGGCAGUGAUUAUUCAGGUAGAACUAGGAACACUCCAAGAAUGCAGUGAUCUCAAUAUCCACUUGUCGGAUGGCCUGGGCUCAAAUCCCAGUGUAUCAUUUACUAGCUGUGUAACUUAAGCUUGUUUUCUCAUCUGUAAAAAUUGGCAUCGUUCUUACUUCUCAAGGGGUGUGAGGCUUAAUUAAGAUGCUAUAUGUAAACCACUUAGCACUGCACCCAGCACAUGCAAGAGUUCUUUAAAUGCCAUCAGUAAUUUUUUCCAAAGUAUACGUUUGAAUCAAUAAUGGUAGAACUAUAUUUGUCGUUCAAGGAUGUGCACUGCCUUGCCUUUCUUUCCCCCGAUAGAGCAUGUGUGUUAGAGUGCCUGGCAUUCCAGGUAAUGAGAGAAUGAAGCAGAGUGAGCAGAUGCUUCUAACCUGUAGAAGAGACUACAGAAGUGACAAAAUGUAUUGUCAUAUACAGUCGUGUGUCACUUACUGAUGGGGAUAUGUUCUGAGAAAUUUGUUAGGUGAUUUUGUAGUUGUGUGAACAUCACAGAAUAUACUCACACAAACCUAGAUGGAAUAGCCUACCGUAUACCUAAGCCAUACGAUAUAGCCUAUUGCUCCUAGGCUAUAAAUCUGUGUACCAUACUGAAUACUGUGGGCAGUUGUAACACAAUGCUAUGUAUUUGUGUAUCUAAACAUAGAAAAGGUACCGUAAAAAUACAGCAUUAUAAUUUUAAGGGGCCACCAUUGUACAUGCAGUACAUUAUUGACCAAAACAUUGUUAUGCGGCUCAUGACUGUAUUUGUGUCAGGGAAUUAAAAAUUAAUAAGGUGUGUUUGGAAACUGAGAUUAAAAGAGGGAUCGUAAAGUGUUGAAAGGACUCCUGUUUGAAUACUGACAUUCUCUAGCAGUGUUCCUAAACUUUUGGGGUCAUGAUUAUAGUUCAUAAUUGUAGAACCAGGGAACAUCUACCCUCCAAAUGCACAUACACAGACGAUUUUGAGGAUUCACAGAAACAUCCUCUGUGUCCAUCUGUAUCAUUGCUUUCAGGAUGAGCACACCUGGCCUGGAGAGGCGUUGAUGAUUCUUCUACAUCAGGAAGCUUUCCUCAGUGGUGACCACGGAUUUGGAGAUUGAAGUCUGAGGAGGAGUUUUGUAGGUAGGAAAGAGAGGAGUGGACGGGAUUUCAUGGAUGAAGUUACAGAAGGGCGGAAGCGAAUAGUCGAGUGGCCUCUGGGGAAGAGCAAGUCGGCUGGAACUAGAAGGUGAGAAAGUGGUUUUACAUAAAUCAAUCUUUCCUAUUGAGCUGAGACUCUGUCAAGAAGAAGUCUAGAGUUGUGGAGGUUGAGAAGUUCAAGAUCAAGGUGCUGCAGGUUCAGUUGUCUGGUGAGUAUUGCUCUGGGUUCCCAGAUAGAGACUUGAUGCUACAUCUUCCAGGGCAGAAGGCAGAAAGGCAAAAAUGAUUAAACUCAUUCUGUCCAGCCCUUUUAUAAGGACACCUAAUACCAUUAACAAGGGAGGAGCCCUCAUGGCCUAAUCACCUCUUACAGGCCCUGCCUCUUAAUACUAUUACCUUGGCAACACCUGAAUUUUGGAGGGGACACAUUCAAACCAUCGCAUUUACCAAGUCACACGAGCCCUGUGACUGAAGUCACAUCUUAAAUUGUUGAGAAUGUAGUCCCCUCUUGACAUUUGCAAUCCCAUUUCCUAGCCGUGUGUCCAAAGAGUUAUUUGGAGACCUGAUGGUUUUGCUUUCUUUUCUUGGAAGCUGUGUUUUUCUGGUCAGCCGCUACCUAUAUAAAAUUUAAUGCCAGACUCUCUUCUUCUGUCGGCACACCUGUCUGAAACCUUCCUACUAUACUGGAAUGAUCUAUUUUCAAUCCUUCGUGAGACUCUUUUUGGAUUAAAGGUCAGGUGUCCACAU